CCUACGGGAGGCAGCAGUCGAGAAUCAUUCACAACGGGGGAAACACUGAUGGUGCGACGCCGCGUGGGGGAAUGAAGGUCUUCGGAUUGUAAACCCCUGUCAUGUGGGAGCAAAUUAAAAAGAUAGUACCACAAGAGGAAGAGACGGCUAACUCUGUGCCAGCAGCCGCGGUAAUACAGAGGUCUCAAGAGUUGUUCGGAAUCACUGGGCGUAAAGCGUGCGUAGGCUGUUUCGUAAGUCGUGUGUGAAAGGCGCGGGCUCAACCCGCGGACGGCACAUGAUACUGCGAGACUAGAGUAAUGGAGGGGGAACCGGAAUUCUCGGUGUAGCAGUGAAAUGCGUAGAUAUCGAGAGGAACACUCGUGGCGAAGGCGGGUUCCUGGACAUUAACUGACGCUGAGGCACGAAGGCCAGGGGAGCGAAAGGGAUUAGAUACCCCUGUAGUC
rnacentral:rRNA from 1 species